GACGAACGCUGGCGGCGUGCUUAACACAUGCCAGUCGAACGGAAAGGCCCCUUUGGUGGUACUCGAGUGGCGAACGGGUGAGUAACACGUGAGUAACCUGCCCUUGACUUCGGGAUAACUUCAGGUAACUGGGGCUAAUACCGGAUAGGAAUCCUUGCUGCAUGGUGGGGGUUGGAAAGCUUCGGCGGUUUUGGAUGGACUGGCUGCUUAUCAGCUUGUUGGUGGGGUAGUGGCUUACCAAGGCUUUGACGGGUAGCCGGACUGCGAGGGCGACCGGCCACAAUGGGAAUGAGAGACGGCCCAGACUCCUACGGGAGGCAGCAGUGGGGAAUAUUGCACAAUGGGCGGAAGCCUGAUGCAGCAACGCCGCGGGCGGGAUGACGGCCUUCGGGUUGUAAACCGCGUUCAGCAGGGGCGAAGCUUGUGGUGACGGUACCUGCAGAAGAAGCACCGGCUAACUACGUG
rnacentral:rRNA from 1 species